rnacentral:rRNA from 1 species
AUUGAACGCUGGCGGCAGGCCUAACACAUGCAAGUCGAGCGGAGCGGCGGACGGGUGAGUAAUGCCUAGGAAUCUGCCUGGUAGUGGGGGAUAACAUCCGGAAACGGGCGCUAAUACCGCAUACUAUCAGAUGAGCCUAGGUCGGAUUAGCUAGUUGGUGGGUGAAAGGCCUACCAAGUCGACGAUCCGUAACUGGUCUGAGAGGAUGAUCAGUCACACUGGAAGUGAGACACGGUCCAGAGUCCUACGGGAGGAAGCAGUGGGAAAUAGUGGACAAAGGGCGAAAGCCUGAGCCAGCCAAGCCGCGUGUGUGAAGAAGGUCUUCGGAUUGUAAAGCACUUUAAGUUGGGAGGCGUUACCAGCAGAAUAAGCACCGGCUAACUUCGUGCCAGCAGCCACGGUAAUAC